rnacentral:rRNA from 1 species
UACGGAGGGGGCUAGCGUUGUUCGGAAUUACUGGGCGUAAAGCGCACGUAGGCGGCUUUGUAAGUUAGAGGUGAAAGCCCAGGGCUUAACCCUGGAAUUGCCUUUAAGACUGCAUCGCUAGAAUCGUGGAGAGGUCAGUGGAAUUCCGAGUGUAGAGGUGAAAUUCGUAGAUAUUCGGAAGAACACCAGUGGCGAAGGCGGCUACCUGGCACAUAACUGACGCUGAUACGGCGAAAGCGUGGGGAGCGAACCGG